CCCCUCUCAGGGUCGCACCUGGAGAGCUUCCAGUACUCUACCAGUCUCGACUACGGGAGGGAGAGUCAAGCAGAUGCCUACUCAUUCCAUUCCUAGCUUGUGCAGUGGCUAGUGAGUGGAAGGCAAUCUGCUACAAAU
rfam:Ornithorhynchus anatinus chromosome 7, whole genome shotgun sequence.